rnacentral:lncRNA from 1 species
ACCAAAUAUAACAUAUUAAUAAGCUCAUUAAAAGGUCACAUGAAACUAAACCCAAAACAAGAACCCAUUCCAAGAAUCUAUUAUCUGAGCGCACUAAGAACUCAUUCCCCCUUCCCUCCCCCCCAAACUUUCCAAGAAGCCUCUAAUAGAACAAAUAUUGGCUUCCAGCUGAACGAUGGUAUUGGCCAUUGACAUGAAAUCACGUAUACCACUGGUUUAGAAUAUUAAUACGAUCGAGUGCGACCUAUCAACACUCGUUUUCACUUUUCAUAUAUAUAUAUAUAUGCUGUUGUCGUUUCAACGCGUCGGCAACGUAAAACUCAAACGCGGUGAAGAAUACAAAAGAGGACGCAACGGAGAAGCUUGUAGUAGAUCCAAAAGAGACUGUACCCAUCAUAAUCAUAAUAUACGUGGA